rnacentral:tRNA from 1 species
AAGGUAGUGGUGGCUCUGUCCUUGUAAGUUUCGGCCUUACUAUUAAAAUUAUAUAUUUUCUACUAUU